rnacentral:snRNA from 1 species
UAGCAAGUGAAUGGUCACUUU